rnacentral:lncRNA from 1 species
AAUAAAAAAAAUAAAGAGUCUUGCAACGAUGCAUAUCGUAUCAUAACAUUUUCAUUUUCAGGUUCAAAAUCUGGGUCUCCAUGGUAUUUAACCAUCCCCCACUGCGAUCCGAUGAAAAAUGUUGUUUCAUUUUCCUCUGGUGGAGGAUGUUUAAAUAGGGGCAACUGUCAUACCCCGAUUUUGGCCCUGAAAAUUUUUCCCCAUCAAUCACUCGUUUGCG